UACGUAGGGUGCGAGCGUUAAUCGGAAUUACUGGGCGUAAAGCGUGCGCAGGCGGUUCGUUAAGUCAGAUGUGAAAGCCCCGGGCUCAACCUGGGAACUGCAUUUGAAACUGGGAGACUUGAGUGUGGCAGAGGGGGGUGGAAUUCCACGUGUAGCAGUGAAAUGCGUAGAUAUGUGGAGGAACACCGAUGGCGAAGGCAGCCCCCUGGGUUAACACUGACGCUCAUGCACGAAAGCGUGGGGAGCAAACAGG
rnacentral:rRNA from 1 species